rnacentral:rRNA from 1 species
AGUGAACGCUGGCGGUAGGCCUAACACAUGCAAGUCGAACGGCAGCACAGUAAGAGCUUGCUCUUACGGGUGGCGAGUGGCGGACGGGUGAGGAAUACAUCGGAAUCUACUUUUUCGUGGGGGUUAACGUAGGGAAACUUAAGCUAAUACCGCAUACGACCUACGGGUGAAAGCAGGGGAUCUUCGCACCUUGCGCGAUUGAAUGAGCCGAUGUCGGAUUAGCUAGUUGGCGGGGUAAAGGCCCACCAAGGCGACGAUCCGUAGCUGGUCUGAGAGGAUGAUCAGCCACACUGGAACUGAGACACGGUCCAGACUCCUACGGGAGGCAGCAGUGGGGAAUAUUAGACAAUGGGCGCAAGCCUGAUCCAGCCAUACCGCGUGGGUGAAGAAGGCCUUCGGGUUGUAAAGCCCUUUUGUUGGGAAAGAAAAGCAGCAGGUUAAUACCCCGCUGUUCUGACGGUACCCAAAGAAUAAGCACCGGCUAACUUCGUG